AUUGAACGCUGGCGGCAGGCCUAACACAUGCAAGUCGAACGGUAACAGGAAGAAGCUUGCUUCUUUGCUGACGAGUGGCGGACGGGUGAGUAAUGUCUGGGAAACUGCCUGAUGGAGGGGGAUAACUACUGGAAACGGUAGCUAAUACCGCAUAACGUCGCAAGACCAAAGAGGGGGACCUUCGGGCCUCUUGCCAUCGGAUGUGCCCAGAUGGGAUUAGCUAGUAGGUGGGGUAACGGCUCACCUAGGCGACGAUUCCUAGCUGGUCUGAGAGGAUGACCAGCCACACUGGAACUGAGACACGGUCCAGACUCCUACGGGAGGCAGCAGUGGGGAAUAUUGCACAAUGGGCGCAAGCCUGAUGCAGCCAUGCCGCGUGUAUGAAGAAGGCCUUCGGGUUGUAAAGUACUUUCAGCGGGGAGGAAGGGAGUAAAGUUAAUACCUUUACUCAUUGACGUUACCCGCAGAAGAAGCACCGGCUAACUCCGUG
rnacentral:rRNA from 1 species